UACUCUGCCAUGAAUAGCCAUUAGAGUGAGCGGAAGAGAGUUCAAUGGUGUGGUGGUAGCAUUCCACCCCACCUCCCAAUCCCUGCGUCCCAAGUGAUGAGUAGGGGGUUGGAGACACUGUUCACCCUACACCUCCCUCCAACCAUAGAGCCACUAAACCCCUCCCAUUUCACCCAGCCCUCUUCCCUGCUGCACCAGCCUGGUAAGAAAUAGGUACAGAAAAGGUGAUGCUGAUGCUACUGAUCUGGGGACCACACUGGAGACCCCACUGCUCUAUAAUAGCUAUUGAAAGGCUGCAUCCAAAAAGGUCCCUUGUGCAGCUCCUCUAGGUGUUCUUUACCUGAAUCUGAAUGCAUAGGAAGACAGGGUGGGGGCUCUCCUCACCCCUCAGAGACAGUCCUGUCCUCCUGCCCCCCACACUCAGCCUGCAACUUCCCUGUUUAAGCCCCUGCAGGGUUGAUGGUGGUCCCUGUGGCAAAUAUCCACCUAGAUUCAAAUUCCGGUGCAACCCCCUCGCUAGCUGUGUGCAUUCAAACCCAUCUCUUCCCUUUCGUAGGCCUGUAUCCUCAUCUGUGACGUGAGGAGUGGUUCAACCCUGUUGUUCCCAAAGUGCAGCAGCCUUGAAGUGAUCACAGGAGAUUCAGCCCCUGGCUCCGUGUAAACUAUAAGUAAUCCAUCUGUGUGUAACAGAUUGACUACGUGUAACUGUGAUUGUUGGGGGAUGAAUAAAGUACCAGUGAAUUUUAAUGAUGUGAUCUA